rnacentral:lncRNA from 1 species
GGCAGAGCUGUUCCCAGCUCAGUGUUAUCAACGAGAUUAAGGAGCUGGAGGUCAGCAUCCUCUCGGGGCAGCCAGUCCUGCUGGAACCAUCCCAGCUGGGUUAAGCACUCGCCAGAACAUCUCUGAUGAGAAGGAUCCUCUGAAAGAGCUGGAUUAGGGAACGGGCUGGCAUGCAGUUAUAUUGGCAGGUCGUUGGAGACCCAGAAAGGACAC